rnacentral:rRNA from 1 species
AUGGCGUCCCUUCUCUGCUCCCCCGCCUCAAAAUCGCUCUCCGUCACCACCUCCACACUCUUCCUCUCCUCGCUCGCGUCGCUCACCCCCGCCCACACCCAUCCCCUCUCCGCCUCCGCCGCCACCCCGCCCGUCCCGGCCUCCGUGCCACCCACCGGCCUCAUCCCCAACUCCCGCUUCCUCGUCGACGCCUUCCGCCACGCCGGCGACUUCUCCGUCUCCUACUUCCUCUCCCACUUCCACUCCGACCACUACGCCGGCCUCGGGCCCUCCUGGCGCCGUGGCCUCGUCUUCUGCACCGCUCCCACCGCCCGCCUCCUCGCCUCCGUGCUCUCUGUGCCGCCGGAGCUUAUCGUCUCCAUUGACAUUGACGUCCGCAUCACCGUUGAUGGCUGGAGCGUUGUUGCCGUCGAUGCCAACCACUGUCCUGGGGCCGUCCAGUUCCUCUUCACCUCCCCUGGACCAAACCCGGAGAGGUAUGUGCACACUGGCGACUUCCGAUACACGCACUCCAUGAGAAGCAACCCUAAUCUGCUGCAAUUCGUCGGUGCUGAUGCGUUAUUCCUGGACACCACAUACUGUAACCCCAAAUUUACAUUUCCUUCUCAAGAGGAGUCACUGGAGUAUGUUGUCGACACGAUAAAGCAGGUGAAGGAGGAGAGUGGGGCGGCUGGAGAGCGCGUCUUGUGUUUGAUCGCUACUUAUGUUGUGGGCAAAGAGAGGAUUCUGCUGGAGGUUGCAAGGCGCUGCGGGUGCACGAUUCAUGUGGAUAGUAGGAAGAUGGAGAUUUUGACAGUAUUGGGGUUUGGUGGGGAGAAGGGAGUUUUUACUGAAGACGCUUCAGCAACAGAUGUGCAUGUCAUAGGGUGGAAUAUUUUGGGGGAGACAUGGCCCUAUUUUCGGCCGAAUUUUGUGAAAAUGAAGGAGAUCAUGGUGGAGAGAGGGUACACCAAGGCAGUUGGGUUUGUACCAACCGGAUGGAUGUACGAGACCAAGAAGGAAGGGUUCGCAGUUAGAGUGAAGGAUUCACUCAAGAUACAUCUUGUAUAUAGCGAGCACUCGAGCUAUGAUGAGCUGCGGGACUAUGUGAAGUUC